AUUGAACGCUGGCGGCAGGCCUAACACAUGCAAGUCGAAUGGUAACAGGAAACAGCUUGCUGUUUCGCUGGCGAGUGGCGGACGGGUGAGUAAUGUCUGGGAAACUGCCUGAUGGAGGGGGAUAACUACUGGAAACGGUAGCUAAUACCGCAUAACGUCGCAAGACCAAAGAGGGGGACCUUCGGGCCUCUUGCCAUCAGAUGUGCCCAGAUGGGAUUAGCUAGUAGGUGGGGUAACGGCUCACCUAGGCGACGAUCCCUAGCUGGUCUGAGAGGAUGACCAGCCACACUGGAACUGAGACACGGUCCAGACCCCUACGGGAGGCAGCAGUGGGGAAUAUUGCACAAUGGGCGCAAGCCUGAUGCAGCCAUGCCGCGUGUAUGAAGAAGGCCUUCGGGUUGUAAAGUACUUUCAGCGGGGAGGAAGGGAGUAAAGUUAAUACCUUUGCUCAUUGACGUUACCCGCAGAAGAAGCACCGGCUAACUCCGUG
rnacentral:rRNA from 1 species